UACGUAGGGUGCAAGCGUUGUCCGGAAUUAUUGGGCGUAAAGAGCUCGUAGGCGGUCUGUCACGUCUGCUGUGAAAACUCGGGGGCUCAACCUCGAGAUGUCGGCGGAAACCAUCUGGCUAGAGUCCGGAAGAGGAAAGUGGAAUUCCUGGUGUAGCGGUGAAAUGCGCAGAUAUCAGGAAGAACACCCGUGGCGAAGGCGGCUUUCUGGGACGGUACUGACGCUGAGACGCGAAAGCGUGGGGAGCGAACAGG
rnacentral:rRNA from 1 species